AGCUUUCCUAGGACUGCAAGCAGCGCAGCGCAAGAUACAGAUUUCCCCAUCUCUACAAGGCCUUUUUAUUUGGUCUAGAUACACAUCUUCAAUCCUUGUUUUGAGGAUCAAAUCUGUAUUUCCUGCGUGCUUGAGGAAAGUCUGUCAGCGUGAUGAGGCAUCAGCAUCACUCAGCAGGACCUGUUGAGGAGCCAGUGAUGGCUUGGCCCAUCACAGCACUGAUUUAUCCUUUUUUGAUCUAAUCCUGGUUUUUGUAGGCUGAGAAAAGAAGAAAUAUUCAUUCUCGCUCCACAGAACUAGAUUAAAACCUUGUCAUUACCACCUGUGAGAGGACAGAACCCCAGUUGUUCUGAGACUACAAGAAUUUCCAUCAUUUCACUUGGAAAAAAUUCUGAUAGCUGGGCAAAACUGCCUUAGAAAAAGACGAAGAAACUCAGAGAACAAACAGAAAUAUUGGAUGGUGGAUGAGGUGAACCUAAAUUUUACAAUGAAGGGAGAGGUUAUCAAAGUUUCACUCUCACAGACUGUUUUCUGCUAAGGGGUUGAAGGCAAGUGGUUGUGGCAGGUCAGGUUAUCACGUUGUGCUAUAGUUAGAACUCUGGACUGGUUCUGUGCUGUUGUUUGUUGAGAUGACUAAGUUGUCAUUUUUAAUUAGCUUUAUGCUCCUCUCAAAGGCUAAUUACUUUACUUUUUAUCAAGAACACUUGAUUGGUAAUGACAAGGGUGCCAUGGUUACGUAUUUUUAGAGAAUUCCCCAACCUGCACCAUGAUGUGAUUUCCUGUUCCCCCUGGAUUCUUUGUGCAGUAAAGCCUUCAAUAAAAAUAAUGGUUA